rnacentral:rRNA from 1 species
AUUGAACGCUGGCGGCGUGCCUAAUACAUGCAAGUCGAGCGCAGGAAGCCGUCUGAACCCUUCGGGGGGACGACGGUGGAAUGAGCGGCGGACGGGUGAGUAACACGUAAAGAACCUGCCCAUAGGUCUGGGAUAACCACGAGAAAUCGGGGCUAAUACCGGAUGUGUCAGCGGACCGCAUGGUCCGCUGAUGAAAGGCGCGCCGGCGUCGCCCAUUGAUGGCUUUGCGGUGCAUUAGCUAGUUGGUGGGGUAACGGCCCACCAAGGCGACGAUGCAUAGCCGACCUGAGAGGGUGAUCGGCCACACUGGGACUGAGACACGGCCCAGACUCCUACGGGAGGCAACAGUAGGGAAUCUUCCACAAUGGACGAAAGUCUGAUGGAGCAACGCCGCGUGAACGAUGAAGGCUUUCGGGUCGUAAAGUUCUGUUGUAAGGGAAGAACAAGUGCCGCAGGCAAUGGCGGCACCUUGACGGUACCUUGCGAGAAAGCCACGGCUAACUACGUGCCAGCCGCCGCCGUAACAC